rnacentral:rRNA from 1 species
GACGAACGCUGGCGGCGUGCUUAACACAUGCAAGUCGAACGGAAAGGCCUCUUUCGGGGGGUACUCGAGUGGCGAACGGGUGAGUAACACGUGAGUAACCUGCCCUUGACUUUGGGAUAACUUCAGGAAACUGGGGCUAAUACCGGAUAGGAGCUCCUGCUGCAUGGUGGGGGUUGGAAAGUUUCGGCGGUUGGGGAUGGACUCGCGGCUUAUCAGCUUGUUGGUGGGGUAGUGGCUUACCAAGGCUUUGACGGGUAGCCGGCCUGAGAGGGUGACCGGCCACAUUGGGACUGAGAUACGGCCCAGACUCCUACGGGAGGCAGCAGUGGGGAAUAUCGCACAAUGGGUGGAAGCCUGAUGCAGCAACGCCGUGUGCGGGAUGACGGCCUUCGGGUUGUAAACCGCUUUCGCUCAUGACGAAGCUUUGUGUGACGGUAGUGGGUAAAGAAGCACCGGCUAACUACG